UAAAACAAUCAACCAGCAACGAAAUUAUUUUGUCAACAUUACAUCUAGGCUAAGAUGAGGUUCACUCUAGCACUACUCGUGACAUUCGCCUUCCUCAUACUAGUAUCAGGUACCAUUCAACUUGUUCACACACAACAUUGUUUCAUCAUUCGACUAUAUAUAUACUAAUGAUGUAUGUUUCUUUGCCAUGGUGAUACUUUGUAGAUGGAAAAACACAACAUUGCACAGAAACAACUAUCGGACAGUCUGGUGGGUGUUCAGCCAGUUCUUGUCAGAAUGGUUGCAAUCAAAAGUACAAGAAUGUGUGUCAUCCAAAUGAUGAGUGCAUAUGGAAGGCCAAUUGUGUUGGAACGACCUGCAAGUGCACUGUGUGCACAUUUAGCUCCUUCCCCAUGCAAGCCUCCAAAAAGGGGAACAAUGACGCUAACUAGUAACUCAUUUAAUUUUUAUUUUUACGUCAAAAAUAGUCAGAAUAAUUAUUAUAUAAAUAUAGUCGCAAGACAUUCACCCGAAAGUGAUGUAUAAGAAAAAUAAUAAUAAAAGUGAUGCUUGAGUAAUGUGGAGCAUCAAGUGAUUUAUAUAUGUUGUUCUCAAGAUACCACCCUACUUCUAAAAGGAACAGAAUAAAU
rnacentral:lncRNA from 1 species